rnacentral:lncRNA from 1 species
AGUCCGCGAAAGAUCCCACCAUCUACCCACUGAGACCCCCACCAUCUCCGUCAAGCGACCCAGUGACAAUCGGCUGCCUAAUUCAGAAUUACUUCCCAUCCGGAACUAUGAAUGUGACCUGGGGCAAGAGUGGAAAGGAUAUAAGCGUCAUAAACUUCCCACCUGCCCCAGCCUCUGGGCCAUACACCAUGUGCAGCCAGUUGACAUUGCCAGCUGCAGAGUGCCCAAAAGGAACAUCUGUGAAAUACUAUGUUCAAUAUAACACAAGCCCCGUCAGAGAAUUGAGUGUGGAAUGCCCUGGUAAAGAAGGUUGGGGGGGUCUGGGGUGGGCUAAGUCCUACCUUAACCUGGUAUCUGGACCCAUAUACCCCUCUGAAGCACACAUCCCACUCAGAAACCUCCCAUGGGGGAUGGGGGGAGGGGGUGUGAACAGGCAGAGGGAGCAGAGGCCUCAGAACAUCCAGAAAAGGGGACAGCAAAGGAGAAAAGGAGACUAUUCUGAUUUGCUAAAACUUCUAUGUUACAGGUCCAAAACCCUCCUUAGUCUGCCGCCCUCGCCUGUC